rnacentral:rRNA from 1 species
UACGGAGGGGGCGAGCGUUGUUCGGAUUUACUGGGCGUAAAGCGUGCGUAGGUGGUUUCCCAAGUUAGAAGUGAAAGCCCAGGGCUUAACCCUGGAACUGCUUUUAAAACUGGGUCACUAGAAUUUAGGAGAGGCAAACGGAAUUCCGAGUGUAGAGGUGAAAUUCGUAGAUAUUCGGAGGAACACCAAUGGCGAAAGCAGUUUGCUGGACUAAUAUUGACACUGAGGCACGAAAGCGUGGGUAGCAAACAGG